UACGAAGGGGGCUAGCGUUGCUCGGAAUCACUGGGCGUAAAGGGUGCGUAGGCGGGUCUUUAAGUCAGGGGUGAAAUCCUGGAGCUCAACUCCAGAACUGCCUUUGAUACUGAAGAUCUUGAGUCCGGGAGAGGUGAGUGGAACUGCGAGUGUAGAGGUGAAAUUCGUAGAUAUUCGCAAGAACACCAGUGGCGAAGGCGACCAACUGGUCCGGUACUGACGCUGAGGUGCGAAAGCGUGGGGAGCAAACAGG
rnacentral:rRNA from 1 species